AUCUGGCAAGUUAUCGCCUUCGAUUGUCUAUUCUAGUUUGUUCUGGUGCCAUUUUCGUUACAAUAUUAAUAAAUUUAGUGCUAUAGCUUAUACGUGUGUGCACAGGAAAGGAAGAACAAGGAGGUGACAUUGGAAUUGGUGGAGGUUUUUGGAUAUAGCACUGGUGCAAUAUAGUAUAACAACAACGCAGAAACAAUGGAUAAUAACAUGAUAUUGAAAACUCAAAGGCGUUAGGCGUCAAUUGGUCCUUCCAUCGGAGUGGAGGUCUCCCUCUUCCUCGGCUUCCACCGAGUCCAUUCGAACAUCAUGACCAAGCCCGCGUAGCCGCUAUCUUUUUUCGCUGGACUAUGCCAAUGUCGUCUAACAACACAUGCUCAUCAUUUCAUCUUUUGCGGUAUUCGCCGUUGCCAAUGUUUAAGGGACCAUAAAUCCCCAAAACCUUCUCUCGAAAACUCUUAGUGCCGUCUCAUCAGAUGUUGACACCGUCCACGCUUCUGCACCAUAAUGUAGGACGGGAAUGAUGAGGGACUUGUAGAGUUUAGUUUUUGCUCAUUUUAUUUUUCAAUUGCCUACUCAGACCAUAAACACAAAUACUGGAGGAUUAAAAUAGCUACAACUUUUCUUAAGCAUGAUAAACAAGACAACAACAAAUCCCAUCGGACAUUUAGAUUAGCAGUUGCACAACCUCUUUCCGACGAGCUGAACCUUUUUAUGAUGUACAUAUGGGAUAGGAUUGUAUGGAAUUGACAUUCAUUAGUUUCGCUGGAUCCUUACAAGAUAGUAAUAAGGAAAUCGUUCGCGUUUAGUAUUAAUUUAUUCAUUUGCUAAUUCAUAAUUAGAUGUAAAAUAUUAUUAAAUUUGAAUGUUCGAAUACUAAUAACAUUCGUAAUAGUAAUGAAAUUUUUCUUGAAUUGUAUAACAACUACAAAAAAUAAAAAUGUAAUACUUAAUACUAAAUUUAUAUAUGAAACAUGUAAAAAGUAAAAAUUUAAUAAUUAAUACAAACUUUAUUUUUAAAAUAUGUAAAUUUUGUCAAUGUAUAAAUAUAAAUGUA